rnacentral:rRNA from 1 species
GAUGAACGCUGACAGAAUGCCUAACACAUGCAAGUCUUUGGCGAAUCUGUGCUUGCACAGGCUAGCCAAGGCGGACGGGUGAGUAACGCGUAAAGAACUUGCCCUGCAGACAGGGAUAACAGACGGAAACGACUGAUAACACCUGAUACAGUUGCCGGCACGCAUGUGCCUGGCAAUGAAAAGAGAUGCUGCAGGAGAGCUUUGCGUCCUAUUAGCUUGUUGGUGAGGUGACGGCUCACCAAGGCGAUGAUAGGUAGCCGGCCUGAGAGGGUGAACGGCCACAAGGGGACUGAGAUACGGCCCUUACUCCUACGGGAGGCAGCAGUGGGGAAUAUUGGACAAUGGGGGCAACCCUGAUCCAGCAAUUCUGUGUGCACGAAGAAGGUUUUCGGAUUGUAAAGUGCUUUCAGCAGGGAAGAAGAAAGUGACGGUACCUGCAGAAGAAGCGACGGCUAAAUACGUG